rnacentral:tRNA from 1 species
AGAUGGCUGAGAAUAGGUGGUGGGUUGUAAUUCCAUUUAUGGGGUGUAAACCCCCUCUUUACA